rnacentral:lncRNA from 1 species
AAACGCUUGCCGAAGUGGGGCGUCCGUUUGGCUGUGCGGGAUGUAUCAAGUUCACAGUCACGUCCGGUCAGAAGGGGGACGUUAAAUCCGAUGCCUCGUGUAAAGAGAGUGCCACGCCUUUUGCACGUUAAGAACCCUUGCAACAACUCUUUUGAGGGGUCCGUAUGUGGCCUGUUGCAAGGCAAAAUUUCUGUCCCUAUCCAAGAUCCCUCAUUUUCCAGUGGCAGUCCAAAUUUCCCCGACCAUCAUCCGAGAUGGCCUCUAUCGUGUCAACCUACCUAUUGUAUUUUUUGUGAACUUGUUCUCGUCCUGAAUAUGCAUGAAAUAUUUGCCACUGGACGUUAAGCAACCAACAAUCAAUCAAUCAAUGU